rnacentral:tRNA from 1 species
ACCUGGCUGGCUCAGUUGGUAGAGCAUGGGACUCUUAAUCUCAGGGUUGUGAGUUUGAGCCCCAUGUUGAGGUA